rnacentral:rRNA from 1 species
AGAGUUUGAUCCUGGCUCAGGGUUAACGCUGGCGGCGUGCCUAACACAUGCAAGUCGAGCGAGGGCUCGCGUCCCGCAAGGGAGGCGGGUUCUAGCGGCAAACGGGUGAGUAACACGUGGGCAACCUGUCCUCUCGCGGGGGAUAACACCGAGAAAUCGGUGCUAAUACCGCAUGUCAUCGUCGAAGGCAUCUUCGGCGA